rnacentral:sRNA from 1 species
GGAUGCAAAAGUCGUAACACGGUUUCCGUAGGUGAACCUGCGGAAGGAUCAUUCACACAUUGCGUCUCAAAGCUGCUUUCCGUAUCGCGCAAGUGCGUCACGGUUGCAACUGCCUUGUUGCUCUUGUGGGUAUAUUGUUGUGAUUUUGGGAGGUUUGCUGCGAGGAAACGCUCGAUGUAAUAACAUACAUUCCCAAUCUUUGAAUCUUUUAUUUCCCCACAACGUACUUUUGAAAGAAUUGAGAGGCAUUAUUAUUUUCUCUGAUUGCGAGUGUUGGAUUUGUUCUUCUGAUGGGAGAGGGUCCGACUCAAGCAUGAGGGGGAUGAGUCGUGGCUAGCUGCUAGCUGCGGGGAGUCAAGGGUUUUGGGGCUGUUUGGGGCUGAGGCAUGCAGUCGUGCAUACAGACCAGACUGGUGUCUCAAGUCUUUGACUUCCUAGGCUGAUGGCGCGUCGCGUCUCUAUUGAAAUUUUGUUGAAUUAAAUAAAACUUUCAGCAAUGGAUGUCUUGGCUCACGCAUCGAUGAAGGACGCAGCGAAAUGCGAUACGCAUUGUGAAUUGCAGAUUUUAGUGAACCAUCAGAUUUCUGAACGCAUAUGGCGCUGUUGGGAUUACCCGACAGCACGUCUGUUUCAGUGUCUUUUGACUCCUUCAAACAUUAUACUGCCACAAGGUUGGGGAUUUACUUCAGUAAUUGGGGUUAGUUCUUGAUUUUGAGUGGUGGUGUCGUCUGCGCGUCGCUGUAUGGAUUAUAUAUCGGCGUCGCGUUAAAAUAAUAGUAUUUCAACAUAUAUUGUUGGGCAUAAGCAGUCGUUGUGCGUUAUCCUUUCGUUCACGAAAGAGAUACGGUGGUUUAUUAACUGCUGGAUAAUAUCUCAGAGCAAGUGGAUGAUGUAUUAUGGAUUACGUUGUGGCGAUUGCUGCUGGCAAUAUAGAUAUCUUUAUAUAGACCUGAAAUCAGUCGAGGUUACCCGCUGAAUUUAAGCAUAUUAUUAAGCGGAGGA